rnacentral:rRNA from 1 species
UAGUGAGUUUGAUCCUGGCUCAGAACGAACGCUGGCGGCAGGCUUAACACAUGCAAGUCGAGCGCCCCGCAAGGGGGAGCGGCAGACGGGUGAGUAACGCGUGGGAAUCUACCCAUCUCUACGGAACAACUCCGGGAAACUGGAGCUAAUACCGUAUACGUCCUCGGAGAAAGAUUAUCGGAGAUGGAUGAGCCCGCGUUGGAUUAGCUAGUUGGUGGGGUAAGUGGCCUACCAAGGCGACGAUCCAUAGCUGGUCUGAGAGGAUGAUCAGCCACACUGGGACUGAGACACGGCCCA